rnacentral:rRNA from 1 species
GGAUUAGAUACCCUGGUAGUCCACGCCGUAAACGAUGAUCACUAACGAUAUGGGGUUUCGACCCUCUGUGUCGUAAAGCUAACGCGUUAAGUGAUCCGCCUGGGGAGUACGAGCGCAAGCUUAAAACUCAAAGGAAUUGACGGGGACCCGCACAAGCAGUGGAUCAUGUGGUUUAAUUCGAGGCUAAACGAAGAACCUUACCGAGACUUGACAUCCUGAGAAUCUUUGGGAAACCAUCGAGUGCCUUCGGGAACUCAGUGACAGGUGCUGCAUGGCCGUCGUCAGCUCGUGCCG